GUUGCAUUUCCUAAUUUGGAUGCCCUUAAAUUGAGCUCACUUCUCAAUUUGAAUCAAAUUUGGGAUGAAAAUCAUCAAUCAAUGUGCAACUUGACUAGCUUGAUUGUGGAUAAUUGUGUUGGAUUGAAGUAUUUAUUCUCAUCUUCUUUGGUUGAAAGUUUUAUGAACCUCAAACACCUUGAAAUAAGUAAUUGUCAAAUGAUGGAGGAGAUAAUAGCUAAAAAAGAAAGAAAAAAUGCAAUAAAAGAGGUAUGAUAAUUCUAUUAUUGGGAGCAUCCAAUUAAUUUUAAAUAAUUAUUUAUACUGAUGGUGGUUAUUCAUGAUUUCAUAGGUUCAUUUUUUGAAAUUAGAGAAAAUCAUACUCAAGGAUAUGUACAACUUGAAGUCAAUAUGGCACCACCAAUUUGAAAAAUUGAAGAUGUUGGAAGUGAACAAUUGUACGAAAAUUGUGGUGGUUUUUCCUUCUUCAGUGCAAAACACGUAUAAUGAGCUUGAGAAGUUGGAGGUUAGAAAUUGUGAUUUAGUUGAAGAGAUAUUUGAAUUGACUUUCAAUGAAAAUAACAGUGAAGAGGUUAUGACACAAUUGAAAGAGGUUACUCUAGAUGUACUGUUCAAGUUGAAAAAGAUAUGGAGUGAAGAUCCUCAAGGAAUUCUUAGUUUUCAAAAUCUAAUAAAUGUACAAUUGGAAUAUUGUGCAAACUUGGAGUAUCUAUUACCACUCUCUCUAGCCACUCGUUGCUCACAUCUCAAGGAAGUUAGUAUAAAAUAUUGUUCGAACAUGAAGGUAAUUGUUGGAGAGGAGAAAGAAUCUAGCAUGAAUGAAGAUCCCAUAUUUGAGUUUAAUCAAUUAAGUACUUUAUUACUUUGGAACUUAUAUGAACUCAAUGGUUUCUAUGCUGGAAAUCAUAUUCUAGAAUGUCCAUCUUUGAGAGAAAUUAGUGUUUCCGGCCGUACAAAGUUGAAAUUGUUCAGAACACUAUCCAAUUUUCAUGAUGACAAACACUCUGUUUCAACGGAGCAACCACUUUUCAUUGCUGAAGAGGUAUGCAUAUCAUAAUGACUAUUUACAUGUCUGGUAAAAUAUGUAUUUUAAAAUAUUUUUAAAAACGCCAUAUAAUCAAUUGAGAGCAAAAUAUUUUGAACUAUUAAUAUCAAAUGUUAUUAAAAUAUUUUACUUUAUAGAUGUGCUUUAUAAUUUCUAUAACAAAAAUAACAACUACUAACAUUGGCCAUUUCUCAAAAGUAUAUGAUAAUAAAUUCUAUAAAGGAUAUAUGUGAGUUUAAAAGAAAUUGAAAAACGUAGAGUAUUCACAAACAUUUAAAAGACAAAUUUUAGUAAAUAGUAAUUAUUGAUUCAUACAAUAAUAUUUUUUUUAAUUAUUUUACAUUGUUGUUUAAAUAUGUUUUAGGUGAUUCCAAACUUGGAGGAGUUGAGGAUGGAACAGGCGGAUGCUGACAUGAUAUUGAAAANUUGUCCCAUUCAUCUUGCAAUUAUUUGUUAUCAUGUCAAUAAGCAAUUUUGAAUCACUUUCAACGCAAAGCUGAGAAAUACCGUCCCUCCAAGCCAACUCUAGACCAAGGUACAUACCCCACAUCUCUGUAUGAAGAGCAUCACAAGCGCCAAUCUUGCGGACAAAACCUUUGAUCCAUCUACCAUUAGCAUCCCGAAGUAAGCCUCCACAACCCGAGCGAUCUCCAUUCUCUUUGCAAGCUCCAUCACAAUUGAGUUUGAUCCAUCCCUCUUGAGGAUAUUUCCAGCCAAUAUAAAUUGUUUCAAUGUGUCGAAGAUCCAUUUGAAUAUGAUUAAGUGUACAAUCUUCAAUAUCACUAGUAAACUUUUGGAUGAUACUUGUGGGAUUCUUCGGUCUCUGGAAAUUUUCCUCGAAGACUGUCUUGUUCCGCCAUUUCCAAAUAUACCAGCAAGUAGUCAUGAAAGUUGUCUUCCCACUUAGAGUUGAGAUCUCUGUUUUGACGCUUGUUGAGGUUUGUAAAAACCCAAUUCAUGCAAUCAAAGGAAAAAAAAGUCAGUUAUAUAAUCUGAAGGUACAAGUCUGAUCCAUACCUGAGUUGCAUAAGUGCAGUCUUUGAGUACAUGAAGAGUAGUCUCAUCCUCACUCCCACAAGAAGGACAAAUUGGGGAUAUGCCAACACCACAUCUACUUCAACGGUAAUUAGUUAAAAUGCGAUCAUGAGCAACCAACCAAAUGAAGGUUUGAAUACGUUGCGGACCCUUCCAAUUCCACAAACUUUUCCAAUCCCCUCCGGUAUUAGAAUGAUUUCCGUCUUUCAUGUCGUAAGCACUUUUGAUCGAGAAUUUUCGCGUACUCGUGCCUCCCCAACCAAUAAUAUCAAGACCAUCACCACUAGAAAGUGCAGGGAGAGCUAACACCUUUUCAGCUAUGUUGUUAGGCAGGUUAUCAAAAAGGAAAUUUUGAUCCCAAUUACCAGAAGAACUCAUCACAUCCCUGACAAGAAGAGUGGUAUCCACAUACAAAUUUGUCGCUAGAGAAAUGAGGGAAUUGUUGUUUGGACCCCACUUAUCAAACCAGAAAUUGACACUAUUACCAUCUCCUAUUUGCCAGAUGAUGUUUCUUUGAAAAUCAUCCCACACCCUAGUAAGAGCUUUCCAUAAAGGAGAAUCAUAAGGUUGAGAGUUUAUAGUUAUCUUCAAAUCAUUAUUUCUCCCAUACUUACUAUACAACACCCUGCAUCAAAGGUCAUUAGUCUUGUUAAUAAGGUUCCAUAGGAUUUUAUGAGGAAAGCCUCAUUCAUCAAAAGAGGCCUUUUAAAUUCAAGACCCCCCCUCCUUCUUGGGUAAACAACAGGUAUCCCAACUAAUCAAAUGAGCUUUGCAGAUAUUUUCUGUAUCCACCCAAACAAAACCUCUUUGGAUUUUUUCCAUCUCACUGCAAAGAGUUUUAGGUAGCUUAGCAUAUUGCAUAUGAUAAUAAGGAAUAGAACUAAGGACAAACUUGGAAAGAGUAAUUCUGCCCGCAAGACUCAAACAUUGUUGCUUCCAUCCACUAAGUCUAUUCUGAAUUUUGUUGAUGAUGUGGCUGAAAUUUCCCCUAGAAGUUCUUCCUGGAGCUAUGUUAGCUCCAAGAUACCUGCCUAAACUAUUAGCUUGAGUGAAACCAGUGUGUUGAAAAAUAUCCUGACGGAGCUGGUUGUCCACAUUUCUUGAGAAGAAAAUUUGAGUCUUUUGGCCAUUAAUACGCUGCCCAGAAGCUUGACAAAACAUAUCCAAACAAUGCAUCACACAAUGUGCCUGCUCAAUAGAAGCCUCUGCAAAAAGAAGAAGAUCAUCAGCAAAAAGAAGGUGAGAAAUUUGAGGGCCAUACCUACCUGCCCGCAUUGGUUUUCAAUACUGAGCUUCCACCCGGUCGGAAAUGAUAUGAGAUAAUCUCUCCAUGCAAAUAACAAAAAGGUAAGGGGAGAGAGGGUCUCCUUGAUGAAUUCCUCUAGUUGGAGUGAAAGUGUCAGUUUUGUCUCCAUUCCACAAAAUUUUGUAACUAGGCGAAGAUAUGCAAUCACGGAUAAUUCGAAUGAGAUUAGGAGGGAAUUUACAAUCCUCCAAGCAAUUCUCCACAAAAUUCCAAUUGAUGCGAUCAUAAGCUUUUUCUAGGUCAAUUUUGAUGGACAUGAACAUCUUGUUGCCUUUCAUUCUAGCCAUGGAAUGUACCAUCUCCUGAGCGACAAUAAUAUUAUGGUGGAUACUUCUACCUGGAAUAAAACUGGACUGAUAUGGAGAAAUAAUACCAUCAAGCAAAGGCUUGAUUCUGUUGACAAUAACCUUAGAAAUUAUCUUAUAAAUAACAUUACAUAAAGCAAUAGGUCUAAAUUGAGAGACAAAUUCAGGUUUAUCAAUCUUAGGGAUCAUCACAAUGAGAGUAUUAUUAAUAGAAGAUAUAAGAGAAAGGGUAACCCAAACCUGGUUCACAAACUGGUAUAUAGAAUCAGCAACUGUGUCCCAGCAUUUUUGAAAAAAUAUAGCGAAAAGGUAUCCAUCCUCUCUCGGCGCCUUGUGAGGAUUCAUAUCAAAAAGAGCUCUUUUACAUUCAUUAAUUUGAACAUGUGCACUCAAACUAUCAUGAUGUUCCUCAAGUGUCGGAUAAGUAUUCCAAGAAAUGAUCGGAUCUCUGAUAGGAUUUUCUUCCUUGAACAAAUUAACAUAGUAAUCACGCACAAUGUUUUUUAGUUGAUCGGGGUCAUCAACCCAACCCCCUUCACUAUCUCGAAGAGUCAAAAUUUUGUUUUUCCUUCUUCUGACAAUGGUUUGAGAAUGGUAGUACUUCGUAUUACGAUCUCCAUCAGCUAUCCAUUGACUGCGCGACUUCUGAAACCACAAGCACUCCUCUUGAUACAAAGUAGUCGCAAGUUGGUUUUGUAAAUCUUUCUCCAAAGAAUCAAGGAAAUUGAUGUAACCAUAUCUAGGACUAUUUUGGAUACCAUUCAAUCUAGAUAAUAAUUCCCUUUUCCUUCUGAAAAUGUUGCCAAAAACCUCUUGGUUCCAUUCCUUCAGGUUAGGAGUCAAAUUAUGCAGAAGGUUUAGAAAAUCUCUACCUCUAGUCCACUUGUUAUUUAAAAAAGUAUGAAAGCUUAUGUGAGUUAACCAAGAUAGGAUGAUGAUCAGAUUGAACUCUAGGGAGUACUUUAGAAAAGCCUUCGUGAAAUUUUAAUCUCCACGCCACAUUACAGAGGACCCGAUCAAGCUUUUUAAAAACUCUAUCAUGCCCAUUCCACUUUGGACCCCUCCAAGUAAAUUUAGUACCAGUUGUAUUGACAUCCAUUAAGUUACACUCAUUAAUCCAAUUAUUGAAAUGAACGCAUCUUCUCAAAUCAACUGGGGCCCCUCCUUUUUUUUCAUUCGGACUAGCAAUCUCAUUGUAAUCACCCAUCAUUAACCAAGGAUCUUGAAUAUUUCCACUAAGCAUCCUUAGUUGAUUCCAUGUAUCUUCUCUCUCAUUUUCACGAGGGCUAGCAUAAACCACAGUAAGGAGCCAAGGUUCAACAUCUCUCUCUUUAACUCGAACAUGAAGAAAAUGAAAGUUCUCAAGUAAAAGCUCGACUUGAAUAUCCAUCCUGUUUCAAAGUAACCAAAUACCACCAGAGAAACCCCUUGCUUCAGAAACCAAAUAAUUCUUGAAGCCCAAAUUUUUUAUAGCUUUGCGAGCAACAUCGCCACUACAACGAGGUUCCUGUAAAGCCACCAUAUCAACUCUAUUUUUCCUGCAGAAAUUUUUAAAUGCUCUUCGGAAAUUCAUUCCUUGAACAUUCAAGGGGAGAUUGCAGAUUUCUUGAGUCUGCGAUUUGAAGUGGAGAGUAAUCGUGGCAGAGCAGAACGCCUUAGACAAAGAAUCAAGAUGGAGAAAAGUAUCCUUAUCAUUCUAGAUAACAUAUGGACCAUACUUGAUUUGAAAGAAGUGGGGAUACCAGUUGGUGAUGAACAUAAUGGUUGCAAAUUGUUGAUGACAAGUAGAAAUCAAGAUGUGUUGCUGCAAAUGGAUGUUCCAAAGGAUUUCACUUUCAAAGUUGAAGUUAUGAGUGAAAAUGAGUCAUGGAGCUUGUUUCAAUUUAUGGCAGGGGAUGUAGUUAAAGAUAGAACUUUGAAAGAUGUAGCAUAUCAAGUUGCCCAAAAAUGUGAAGGUUUGCCUCUUAGGGUAGUGACAGUAGCGAGUGCAAUGAAAAAUAAGAGGGAUGUAAAAUCAUGGAAAAAUGCAUUAAAGAAAUUACAAAGUCAUGACUCAUUAGAUGCGUUAACUUAUUCUGCUUUGGAAUUGAGCUAUGACUCAUUGGAUAGUGAUGAAAUGAGGGACCUCUUCUUGCUUUUUUCAUUACUUCCAGGUAAUGAUGUAUCGUACUUUCUGAAAGUUGCAAUGGGUCUGGACAUAUUAAAACAUGUUAAUAUUGUUGAUGAUGCAAGAAAUAGACUUUACACAAUGAUCGAAUCUUUGGAGGCAUCUUGUCUUUUGCUUGAAGUUAAAGUAGAUGGAAAGAUCCAAAUGCAUGACUUUGUUUGUGAGUUUGCUAUCUCCAUAGCAUGCAGGGACAAACAUGUAUUUCUAAUGAAACAACGAGAUGAUCAGGAAUGGCCAACCAAUGCUUUUUUACAAAGGUGCACACAGAUUGUUGUAGAUUACUGUCAUAUGCACGAGCUUCCUCAAACAAUUGAUUGUCCUAACAUGAAGUUUUUAUGUUUGGCUAGUGGGAAUCGUUCUUUAAAAAUCCCAGAUGAUUAUUUUAAGGGUAUGGGAAGCCUUAGAGUGCUAGAUUUAACAAGUCUGAACUUGUCUUCAUUACCGUUUCAGUUCCUAACCGACCUUCAAACAUUGUGUUUGAAUUUCUGCGUUUUGGAAAAUAUGGAUGCAAUAGAAGCUUUACAAAAUUUGAAAAUUCUUUGCCUCUGGAAUUCUUCAAUGAUCAAGUUGCCAAGACAAAUAGGGCAAUUGACUCAAUUGAGAAUGCUUGAUUUGAGAAGUUCAGGAAUAGAAGUAAUCCCACACAACAUUAUAUCAAGCUUGACUAAAUUGGAGGAGUUGUACAUGGGAAAUACCUCUAUUAAUUGGGAAGAUGUGAAUUCAACGGUUCAAAAUGAACAUGCUAGUAUUGCUGAGCUUCGAAAGCUACCCAACUUGAAAGCUCUAGAAUUACAAAUUCGUGAGACUUGGAUGUUGCCAAGGGACUUGCGAUUGAUGUUUGAGAAGCUGGAAAGAUAUAAAAUAGCUAUUGGAGAUGUAUGGGACUGGUCUGACAUCAAGGAUGGAACCUUAAAAACAUUGAUGCUCAAACUUGGUACAAACAUACAUUUGGAGCAUGGAAUUAAAGCAUUGAUUAAAGGUGUUGAGAAUUUGUAUUUGGAUGAUGUAGAUGGAAUUCAAAAUGUGCUUCCUAACCUAAAUAGAGAAGGAUUUAAAUUGCUGAAACAUCUCCACGUCCAAAAUAAUACUAACUUGAAUCACAUUGUUGACAAUAAAGAGAUAAAUCAAAUCCAUGCGUCCUUUCCCAUCUUGGAAACACUAGUACUUCUUAAUCUUAGAAACUUGGAGCAUAUAUGUCAUGGUCAACCUUCAGUUGCUUCUUUUGGAAGUCUCAGUGUUAUCAAAGUAAAAAAUUGCGUCCAGUUAAAGUAUCUUUUCUCCUUUACAAUGGUUAAAGGACUUUCUCACCUUUGUAAGAUUGAAGUUUGUGAGUGCAAUUCUAUGAAGGAGAUAGUGUUCAGAGACAACAAUUCAAGUGCUAAUAAUGAUAUCACUGAUGAAAAAAUCGAGUUUCUUCAAUUGCGUUCUUUGACUUUAGAACAUUUGGAGACACUUGAUAAUUUCGCCUCUGAUUAUUUGACACAUCAUAGAAGUAAGGAAAAGUAUCAAGAUGUAGAGCCAUAUGCUUCUACUACACCAUUUUUCAAUGCUCAGGUAUGCUAUUUUGUUUUUACCUUCUUUAGAUACAUAUGAUAUAAUUUUUGAUUUUGUGAUAUGUAAAAACAGAUUGAUUCAUGAAUAAAUUUGUUUAGAGAAGAAAGAAAAAACAAUUGAGUAAAUGAACAACAUUAAUAUUUUCUGUUCAAAAAACUAUAAUGCUUAUUUUUUCCACGAAACUGCAAUAGAUGUGAUAAUAAAAGUCAUUUAAAAAAUUAUAAGUAUACUAUUAGUUAUAAGUUAGUUUUAUCCUUAAAAAAUAUAUUUAAAUAGAUUCUUGUAUUUGAAGACUUCAUACUGUUUCAUAGUAUUUACUUUUUAACUAUUUAUACGUUGUUUCGAUGUUUCAUAUUAUAAGAGUAAUGAUUUCUGUUAAUUUGUUUUUAUGUAGGUUUCAUUUCCUAAUUUGGAUACCCUUAAAUUAAGCUCACUUCUCAAUUUGAACAAAGUCUGGGAUGAGAAUCAUCAAUCAAUGUGCAACUUGACUAGCUUGAUUGUGGAUAAUUGUGUUGGAUUGAAGUAUUUAUUCUCCUCUACUUUGGUUGAAAGUUUUAUGAACCUCAAACAUCUUGAAAUAAGUAAUUGUCCUAUCAUGGAGG
rnacentral:lncRNA from 1 species